rnacentral:miRNA from 14 species
AUGUAUAUAUGUAUGUGUGUGUGUAUAUAUAUGUAUAUACAUAUAUAUAUAUAUACACAUACAUAUAUACAUAUACAUACACAUACAUAUAUAUAUGUAUAUACAUAUAUA